UACAGAGGGUGCAAGCGUUGUUCGGAAUUACUGGGCGUAAAGGGCUCGUAGGCGGCCAACUAAGUCGGACGUGAAAUCCCUCGGCUCAACCGGGGAACUGCGUCCGAUACUGGAUGGCUUGAAUCCGGGAGAGGGAUGCGGAAUUCCAGGUGUAGCGGUGAAAUGCGUAGAUAUCUGGAGGAACACCGGUGGCGAAGGCGGCAUCCUGGACCGGCAUUGACGCUGAUGAGCGAAAGCUAGGGGAGCAAACGGG
rnacentral:rRNA from 1 species